CCAUCGCAGCGAACUGCAUGCACACGCCUGCACCCUAAAUCUAAGAGAUCUCCAGCCUUAUGAAAAUUUGCUGGCGCACAACAUUGCAAGGAAGCCACGUGACAGGUUAGGGAGCAAUGGCUGAGCAGCGGGGAGCAGGAGGCAAAGAGAAGAAGAGAGAGGGAGCCCCGACUUUGGUUUCCAUUCCAGCAUCUGCUACGGCCUUCUAUGUUCCUGUGAAGAGACAUUAUGCAAGGAAGCUCAGCAAAGCCCGGGCCAGCAGGUAAUAUUGUGGCUGUGGCCUAUGAGAGGCUGUACGUCUCCGGCUGGGAGUCUUUCAGGGGCCUUGUUGUCUACACAUACCUCUUCCUUCCUGCAGUGAAACAAAGGCCUUUCUUGGGUCUGAACUGGGUUUUGAAAGAGAAACAGGCACGCACAAGGUGAACCACAAUGCUUAGUGGAGGGAACACAGGACACGGUGCACGAGGAACUGGAAGUAGAUUGAUUUUUAUUGGAGCCUGAAUUGCAAGGGAGUGAGCCCUGGGAGUAUAAGCAUCAAAUGAGGUAAUGUAAGCAUGUUAGAAAAUGUCAAGUCCGAUAAAUAUGAAUGACUCUGCCACAUCACAGAGGUAUUGGGGAACCAAAUGAUAUGUUAUAUGCACCCAUGCUUUACAU